rnacentral:ncRNA from 2 species
UGGCUCGGGAGAGACCGGGAACCCGGCGCCGAAGGGGCAAGCAGAAACUCUCAGGCAAAAGGAUCGAGCCA